UACAACGUAAAUGCGCCACACACCUUGA
rnacentral:piRNA from 1 species